UACGUAGGGUGCGAGCGUUGUCCGGAAUUACUGGGCGUAAAGGGCGCGUAGGCGGCGCAACAAGUCACUUGUGAAAUCUCCGGGCUUAACCCGGAGCGGUCAAGUGAUACUGUCGUGCUAGAGUGCGGAAGGGGCUACUGGAAUUCUCGGUGUAGCGGUGAAAUGCGUAGAUAUCGAGAGGAACACCUGCGGCGAAGGCGGGUAGCUGGGCCGACACUGACGCUGAGGCGCGAAAGCGUGGGGAGCAAACAGG
rnacentral:rRNA from 1 species